CCUACGGGUGGCAGCAGUCGAGAAUCAUUCACAAUGGGGGAAACCCUGAUGGUGCGACGCCGCGUGGGGGAAUGAAGGUCUUCGGAUUGUAAACCCCUGUCAUGUGGGAGCAAAUUAAAAAGAUAGUACCACAAGAGGAAGAGCCGGCUAACUCUGUGCCAGCAGCCGCGGUAAUACAGAGGUCUCAAGCGUUGUUCGGAAUCACUGGGCGUAAAGCGUGCGUAGGCUGUUUCGUAAGUCGUGUGUGAAAGGCGCGGGCUCAACCCGCGGACGGCACAUGAUACUGCGAGACUAGAGUAAGGGAGGGGGAACCGGAAUUCUCGGUGUAGCAGUGAAAUGCGUAGAUAUCGAGAGGAACACUCGUGGCGAAGGCGGGUUCCUGGACAGUAACUGACGCUGAGGCACGAAGGCCAGGGGAGCGAAAGGGAUUAGAUACCCUGGUAGUC
rnacentral:rRNA from 1 species